rnacentral:rRNA from 1 species
AUGAAAAGAGGAGGAUGGUCUAACCCCCCGACAGGAUUUGUUAAACUUAACGUUGAUGCUUCUUUUGACCACGACCUUCUCAGGGGUACAAUCGGGGCUGUCUUAAGAGAUGACAAAGGUAGGUUCAUCGGUGGGGGAAAUGGUAAGAUUGACUGGUGUGCAGAUGUGUUGAUGGCUGAAGCUUUGGCGUUAAAAUUUGGUCUAUCUCUUGCGCAAAGGACGGGUUGUAAUCGCAUAAUUAUUAACUCGGAUAAUAUGGAGGUGAUCGAGACCAUGAACGAAGGAGGACGAUCCUCGGGGGCAGCUGGUGCAAUUUUUGAUGACUGUUUUCACUUAGCUUGCGAUUUUCCUAUUUCUAGAUUCGAGCAUUAUAAUAGAGAAGCAAAUAAAGUUGCUCAUGAACUUGCCAAGUUGGCUAGAUUUUCUUUCAUUUAUGAUUGGUUUGAGGAACCACAUAAUGCAAUUGUACCGAUCCUCAUAAAUGAUGUAAUGAUUAUUUCUAAUGAAUAA